ACUGCUCGACCAGCAUUUUUUCUGCUCGAGCAGAAAAAUCCUGCUCGACCAGCAUUUAUUUUUAGAUUAUGGCAUUAGCCAAUCAGAACUCUUGUUAUAUUUGCCGUUUGGUGCGAAACUGGUUUGUUUGGAAAAAAUGGCUGCCGCCAUGAUGGUGCCUUUUUCACAUCUUCUGCAAGUUUAUGUGACGACCUGCUUAAAGUUUAACAUUGACACGCGGUGGACUUCAAUAUGUAUGAUCUACUUAUGCUGCCACAAUGUAAAGGCAACAAUCACUGGGUUUUGCUGGUUGCAAGUGUUAUGUCCAGGACUGUAACCAUUUACGACUCGUUGGGUGGUAACAACAAGGCCUUGUUCGAUUUGUUCUGCCAGUUUAUGUGUCAACGAGCGCAAAUUGUGAAAGAUGGCUUGGAAAAAUUCAGUUCAGAGUUCAAAGCGCCACCUUGCAACAAACAGCGCCAUGGAAACAGCUGUGGAGUGUUUGCAUUGAUGACUGCCAAAUGUUUGGUCAUGAAAAAGCAUCCCACAAUGUUGCGACAGGCCCAUGAUUCAGUUUAUCGAGACUAGUCGUGAGACGCAGUCUUCUGAUUCAUGGGGUGCGGCAAACAUAUCUGUGCGACUCGAUGACUUCACUGUCAAGACCCGCACGGCAUUAAAAUGGAUAUUAUCAAUAUGUGUUGUUUCUCGAAAAUAUGUUUUUGUAGCAGGAAGUGCUUUGGGCUCGAUUAAUCUGAGAACUCAACAAAAUAUUAAUAAAAUCCUUCUGUGCCAAAAACAUAUUGACUUAAAUUAAUUAAUCCCGAUGGCGUAAAUGACUUAUCAUUUCAUGUUCAUGAACCGGUGUUAAAAUACUUUGUAGACUUAUCUGCUAGGCGGUGAGGACUUUUAGACCACCUGAUAAACUUCAACUUUAUUUGCCCUAGUUCAGUAACCGACUAAAGAUAUGCUAACAUAAUACUGAUGACUGAUGAGUCUGCUGUGUCUUAUAUUCUCAUUGCUACUUAAAAUAUUAAGUCUAUUUCAACGUUUAGACUAAUAAUAAGCAAAUUCGUUAAAUUGAUAUCCCCCGCCAAAUAAAUUUUGAUUAUUGAUGGGUGCAGAACUAACAGAAAAGUUUAUUUGAAGGGUUGUACCCUUAUCUCACUUAUUUAAAAGCAACAACAUAAAAAUACAAUUGGCAAUAACUCUUAUUUAAGAAAGUGUAGGGUUAUAGAUUUUGUGCAUGACACCUCUCCUCAUUGAUAUCUUAACAUCCAUUAAAUUUCAUCUUUAAAUCGUGUAUAGUAUCUGUGAUAUAGUCCUGUAAAGUAACAUCAGACAUGUACAUAUGUACUAGGGUUAUGUUUCUUGUGCAUGGCACUUAUUCUCAUUGACAAUUAUACACCCAUGAAAUUUCAUGUUGAAAUCUUGUAUUUAUAGUUUCUGAGAUAAAGCCCUGAGAAGUUACAUCAUACAAAAACAACAAAGGACAAUAACUCUUAUUUAAGAAAGUGAAGGGUUGUGGUUCUUAUGCAUGGUUCUAUAAAUGAGAUAUAGCCCUGAAAAGUUACAUCAUUAAAUGACAAUAACAAGUAAGGGCAAUAACCGUUAUGUAAGAAAGUAUACGGUUAUGGUUCUCAUGCAUUGAUAAUUAUAGACCCAUUAAGUUUCAUGUUAAAAUCUUGUAUAGUAUUUGAGAUAUAGCCCUAGUUACAUCAUACAAAAACAACAAAGCGCAAUAACUCUUAUAUCAGAAAGUGGCGGGUUAUGGUUCUUGUGCAUGGCACCUCUCCUCAGCUAUAUUUAU